ACACAUGCAGUCGAGCGGGGAGAUNGUAGCUUGCNUACANUUGUACCUAGCGGCGGACGGGUGAGUAAUGCUUAGGAAUCUGCCUAUUAGUGGGGGACAACAUUCCGAAAGGAAUGCUAAUACCGCAUACGCCCUACGGGGGAAAGCAGGGGAUCUUCGGACCUUGCGCUAAUAGAUGAGCCUAAGUCAGAUUAGCUAGUUGGUGGGGUAAAGGCCUACCAAGGCGACGAUCUGUAGCGGGUCUGAGAGGAUGAUCCGCCACACUGGGACUGAGACACGGCCCAGACUCCUACGGGAGGCAGCAGUGGGGAAUAUUGGACAAUGGGCGCAAGCCUGAUCCAGCCAUGCCGCGUGUGUGAAGAAGGCCUUUUGGUUGUAAAGCACUUUAAGCGAGGAGGAGGCUAC
rnacentral:rRNA from 2 species